UUAUGCCUGACUUGAUUAUUUAUUUAUUUUUGCAAACUCAGAUCACCUCAAAAUCCAGAGUUUCACUGCUGUUAUGAAAACAGAUGUUGUUGAGAGAGAUAAGGACCUACAAAUGUUGUGGUGAUGAUGGCUGUCGUUGGACUAUGCUUCAUGGUGCUUUUGGCUGGAAUGCCGGGCCUUUUUGCUGAUAGACAGAGUGAACAGAAAGAAAGAAUUGCAGUACAGUGACAGGACACAAGCAGGAAGGAGCUCCAGACUAGGUGCUUGUCAAAUCUAGGAUCUAAGAUUACACAGGGUGAUGGGGAAGAAGUGAGUACAAAUGAAUAUAUCUCACUGUAAACUGAAAGCAUUGCUGAAA